rnacentral:rRNA from 1 species
UACGUAGGGUGCGAGCGUUAAUCGGAAUUACUGGGCGUAAAGCGUGCGCAGGCGGGCUUUUAAGACAGACGUGAAAUCCCCGGGCUCAACCUGGGAAUGGCGUUUGGGACUGGAAGUCUGGAGUGCGGCAGAGGAGACUGGAAUUCCUGGUGUAGCAGUGAAAUGCGUAGAUAUCAGGAGGAACACCGAUGGCGAAGGCAGGUCUCUGGGCUGACACUGACGCUCAUGCACGAAAGCGUGGGGAGCAAACAGG